GAUGAACGCUGGCGGCGUGCUUAACACAUGCAAGUCGAACGGUGAAGGCGGAGCUUGCUCUGCUGGAUCAGUGGCGAACGGGUGAGUAACACGUGAGCAAUCUGCCCCUGACUCUGGGAUAAGCGCUGGAAACGGCGUCUAAUACUGGAUACGAGCUGCGAAGGCAUCUUCAGCAGCUGGAAAGAAUUUCGGUCAGGGAUGAGCUCGCGGCCUAUCAGCUUGUUGGUGAGGUAAUGGCUCACCAAGGCGUCGACGGGUAGCCGGCCUGAGAGGGUGACCGGCCACACUGGGACUGAGACACGGCCCAGACUCCUACGGGAGGCAGCAGUGGGGAAUAGUGCACGAUGGGCGAAAGCCUGAUGCAGCAACGCCGCGUGAGGGACGACGGCCUUCGGUUUGUAAACCUCUUUUAGCAGGGAAGAAGCGAAAGUGACGGUACCUGCAGAAAAAGCGCCGGCUAACUACGUG
rnacentral:rRNA from 1 species